rnacentral:rRNA from 1 species
GACGAACGCUGGCGGCGUGCCUAACACAUGCAAGUCGAGCGAUGAAACCCUUCGGGGUGGAUUAGCGGCGGACGGGUGAGUAACACGUGGGUAACCUGCCUCAAAGAGGGGGAUAGCCUCCCGAAAGGGAGAUUAAUACCGCAUAACAUUAGUUUUUCGCAUGAAGAACUAAUUAAAGGAGUAAUCCGCUUUGAGAUGGACCCGCGGCGCAUUAGCUAGUUGGUGAGGUAAAGGCUCACCAAGGCGACGAUGCGUAGCCGACCUGAGAGGGUGAUCGGCCACAUUGGAACUGAGACACGGUCCAGACUCCUACGGGAGGCAGCAGUGGGGAAUAUUGCACAAUGGGCGAAAGCCUGAUGCAGCAACGCCGCGUGAGUGAUGAAGGCCUUCGGGCUGUAAAGCUCUGUCUUUUGGGACGAUAAUGACGGUACCAAAGGAGGAAGCCACGGCUAACUACGUGCCAGCCGCCGCGGUAACAC